rnacentral:rRNA from 1 species
CGUAGGGUCCGAGCGUUGUCCGGAAUUAUUGGGGCGUAAAAGGGCUUGUAGGCGGUCUGUCGCGUCGGAAGUGAAAACUCAGGGCUUAACUCUGAGCGUGCUUUUGAUACGGGCAGACUAGAGGGAUGCAGGGGAGAACGGAAUUCCUGGUGGAGCGGUGGAAUGCGCAGAUAUCAGGAGGAACACCGGUGGCGAAGGCGGUUCUCUGGGCAUUACCUGACGCUGAGAAGCGAAAGCGUGGGGAGCAAACAGGCUU